GAUGAACGCUGGCGGCGUGCCUAAUACAUGCAAGUCGAGCGAACGGACGAGAAGCUUGCGUCUCUGAUGUUAGCGGCGGACGGGUGAUUAACACGUGGAUAACCUACCUAUAAGACUGGGAUAACUUCGGGAAACCGGAGCUAAUACCGGAUAAUAUUUUGAACCUCAUGGUUCAAAAGUGAAAGACGGUCUUGCUGUCACUUAUAGAUUGCUCCGUGCUGCAUUAGCUAGUUGGUAAGGUAACGGCUUACCAAGGCAACGAUGCAUAGCCGACCUGAAAGGGUGAUCGGCCACACUGGAACUGAGACACGGUCCAGACUCCUACGGGAGGAAGCAGUAGGGAAUCUUCCGGAAUGGGCGAAAGCCUGACGGAGGAACGCCGCGUGAGUGAUGAAGGUCUUCGGAUCGUAAAACUCUGUUAUUAGGGAAGAACAUAUGUGUAAGUAACUGUGCACAUCUUGACGGUACCUAAUCAGAAAGCCACGGCUAACUACGUG
rnacentral:rRNA from 1 species